rnacentral:rRNA from 1 species
ACUAGCCGUUGGGGGACUUGAUCCUUUAGUGGCGCAAGCCAACGCAUUAAGUAGACCGCCUGGGGAGUACGGUCGCAAGACUAAAACUCAAAUGAAUUGACGGGGGCCCGCACAAGCGGUGGAGCAUGUGGUUUAAUUCGAUGCAACGCGAAGAACCUUACCUGGCCUUGACAUGUCUGGAAUCCUGUAGAGAUACGGGAGUGCCUUCGGGAAUCAGAACACAGGUGCUGCAUGGCUGUCGUCAGCUCGUGUCGUGAGAUGUUGGGUUAAGUCCCGCAACGAGCGCAACCCUUGUCCUUAGUUGCCAGCACGUAAUGGUGGGAACUCUAGGGAGACUGCCGGUGACAAACCGGAGGAAGGCGGGGACGACGUCAAAGUCAUCAUGGCCCUUACGGCCCAGGGCUACACACGUGCUACAAUGGUCGGUACAAAGGGUUGCCAACUCGCGAGAGUGCGCUAAUCUCAAAAANGCCNGAUCGUAGUCCGGAUUGGAGUCUGCAACUCGACUCCNAUGAAGUCGGAAUCGCUAGUAAUCGCGGAUCAGAAUGCCGCGGUGAAUACGUUCCCGGGCCUUGUACACACCGCCCGUCACACCAUGGGAGUUUACUGCACCAGAAGUAGGUAGCCUAACCGCAAGGGGGGCGCUUACCACGGUGUGGUCAAUGACUGGGGUGAAGUCGUAACAAGGUAACC